rnacentral:lncRNA from 1 species
GAAAGAGGGGAAGCAAGCACACACCCUGUGGCCAGUCACGGCUGCCCGCUUUCCACACCUGACCUCUUCAGUUCAUCAGUGGGGUUCACCAGCAUCACCCCCAUUUUUCAUGGGGAGAAACUCAGAAGUGGAGAGAACGUCUGAGGCUACAUAGCCAGUACAAAGUAGGUUUUCUGCUUGAAAAACCUGUUUCUAUUUCUUUUUAAAAAAUCAUACUGCAUAACAGAAUAGUAAAAACAAAAUGCGUGUUAAGACUUACAGGGAAACAGUUGCCGUUUCAUUUUAAGUGAGACUUGCUACUCUUUUUCAUCGUCUCUUGAAAGACUGACAGAAGGAAAAUAUGACUUAUCAGAAAUCUGUUGUCUGCAUGCAUGGACCUAGUGUUUUCAUCAGCUCCCUUCAGCAUCUUGGGACCUCUCUAAUCCUGCCUAAUUUGGGACUUUUUCUGCAGGAUUGUAAUGUAAAAUAGUUCUUUAGCUCUUGGAGAUUUUUAAUAAUACGAGUUAUUAAAAACCA